rnacentral:rRNA from 1 species
CCUACGGGCGGCAGCAGUGGGGAAUAUUGCACAAUGGGGGAAACCCUGAUGCAGCGACGCCGCGUGAGUGAAGAAGUAUUUCGGUAUGUAAAGCCCUAUCAGCAGGGAAGAAAUAGCGACCUUUGGGUCGCCAGACGGUACCUGACUAAGAAGCCCCGGCUAACUACGUGCCAGCAGCCGCGGUAAUACGGAGGGGGAAAGCGUUAUACGGAAUUACUGGGUGGAAAGGGAGCGUAGACGGCAGCACAAGUCUGAAGUGAAAUUCCGGGGCUUAACCCCGGAACUGCAUUUGAAACUGUGCAGCUAGAGUGCAGGAGAGGUAAGUGGAAUUCUUGGUGUAGCGGUAAAAUGCGUAGAGAUUAAGAGGAACACCAGUUGCGAAGGCGACUUACUGGACUGUAACUGACGUUGAGGCGCGAAAGCGUGGGGAGCAAACAGGAUUAGAUACCCUAGUAGUC